rnacentral:rRNA from 1 species
GAUGGCGACCGGCGCACGGGUGAGUAACGCGUAUGCAACCUACCCAGUACAGGGGGAUAGCCCGGAGAAAUUCGGAUUAAUACCCCAUAAUGAUAUCGAGUGGCAUCAUUUGAUAUUUAAAGUUUCGGCGGUACUGGAUGGGCAUGCGUGACAUUAGCUAGUUGGUAGGGUAACGGCCUACCAAGGCAUCGAUGUCUAGGGGUCCUGAGAGGGUGAUCCCCCACACUGGUACUGAGACACGGACCAGACUCCUACGGGAGGCAGCAGUGAGGACUAUUGGUCAAUGGGCGCAAGCCUGAACCAGCCAUCCCGCGUGAAGGAAGAAGGCGCUAUGCGUCGUAAACUUCUUUUCCGGAGGAAUAAAAUCUUGUACGUGUACAGGACUGAAGGUACUCUGGGAAUAAGCAUCGGCUAACUCCGUGCCAGCAGCCGCGGUAAUACGGAGGAUGCGAGCGUUAUCCGGAUUUAUUGGGUUUAAAGGGUGCGUAGGCGGAUCAAUAAGUCAGUGGUGAAAACCUUCAGCUUAACUGGAGACUUGCCAUUGAUACUGUUAGUCUUGAGUAUGGUUAAGGUAGGCGGAAUGUGUAAUGUAGCGGUGAAAUGCUUAGAUAUUACACAGAACACCAAUUGCGAAGGCAGCUUACUGAGCCAUAACUGACGCUGAUGCACGAAAGCGUGGGGAGCGAACA